GGAGAGAUGGCUUAGUGAUUCAAGACGUAGCAUUAGAACUACUAUGUAAGCUUUUGUUUACCGAGGGUUCGAAUCCCUUUCUUUCCG
rnacentral:tRNA from 1 species